CAGGCUUCAGGUCGAUUUCCUCCAUGAAUUUUCCGUAAAGGGCCUGUGACCUCCUCCAACGGGUUAGGUCCGGGGUGUCCUCCACAUGUAUAGACUGUGGAGGCGGAGGUGUGGCCAUGGCCGGUGACGAUUCCAUGUCCUGGGGAGCGGGUGGUGGUGUUGGCUCAGCAGGCCGAGGCGCAGGCAGUGGAGGUGUAGGCACUGCGGCUGGUGUUGUCCUCAGCUGAGCCUUGACCUGUCCGAGGACUUUAUAGAUAUUGCUGCCUGCUCCGGGUCUCAGAUCCAAGAUUUGUUUGAUAAGGCCAGCGAGAGCAUCGCCCUGCGGAGGGGAAGGGGACAUAGCAGAAUUCGUUCUUCAAACUCUUUUAAAAAGGCAGCGGAACUGUUCCGGGACAUCUAUUCUUCUGUUUAUGCUGUCUUUACAACCAGAAACCAAGGAUUCCAAAAUUAAUCUUUCCCCUUUGUAUCUGAUGUUGUUGUAAUGGCAGAUGGGGUUAUCCAGAUCAAAACUAUGUCCUGUGUUUAACGUGUGUUGGUACAGAAGGGAUCUGGGGUCUUUUGAGCGGAUAUUGUAUUUGUGUUCUUUGAUUCGGUUUUCGAUUUUUCUGCCUGUUUCUCCUACAUAAACGGAUUCACAAUCGUUGCAGGCAACCGAAUAAAUCGCGUUGCUUUUAUGUUGAACAUCAUGUUUAACUCCUGGUUUGGUAAUGGGGUACCUCAGUAUAUGUCCUGUUGUGCUUGUGCUGCGAUAGGUGAACUGGAUACCAUAUUUCCUCAAAUCAUGGGCUAUUCGCUGAUUGGUAGGGGAGAAAUCUAUAAAACCCCUGGUUCUAUUGACCGCGAGGGUAACCUUCUUGAACGUGAUGAAUGUAUGUUUUCUUAUAAAGUCCGGUGGGUAUCCAAAUGUUCGUAGGUUAUUGUAAAUAUUCUCUUUUUCUUUUUCUUUUAAAGCUCGAAGGGAACAAUGGGUAUGGAGUCUCUUAGUUAGGGUUUUAACAACUGAUAUUUUGUAAGAGACUGGACUGUAGGAGUUAAACGGGAUAUAUGAUGGUUUGGCGGUGUCUUUGUAAUAGACAGUUGUUUGAAAAUUAUUCCUAUUUCUAAAAAUGAGGGCAUCCAGAUAAGGUAAGAUGUGGUUUUUAUAUACACUAAAGGGUUUUAAAUCAGCAUUAGUUACAUUUAAACUUUCUUUGAAAUAAUCUAUAAUCUGUUCUUUGCCAAAAUCUUCUUCAACAUUUAAUAUUUUAAUAGUAGGAGACCUACCUUUGGGGACUUUUGGAGUUAGCUUAGACCUAAGAUGUUCAUUUUCAUUUAUGAAUUUUACUAUUGUGUUUACAUUUUCCAUUGUGGGAACUUCUAUGGUGCAUCCCUUUUUGUUUGGAAUAGCAUUUGCUCUAAUUAUUUUUAGAUUAGACAAAGAAAUAUUUUCUUUAAGGAAUUGCACGAUGUUGGUAUUUUCUGGGAGUUUUGAUUCAAUUACUAUUUUUCCAAAUAGAUUAGGGGAACUUUUUGGCUGGGCUAUGGAGGUUGGUGCAGUUGGUAGGUUAGAGGCCAAAACUGCACUGUAACUUUUCUCACUUUUUUCCAUUAAUAUUUUCAAUUUUUCAUCGAUUAGAGCAUUAUUUUCACUAAUUAAGUCUUGAGUAGAUUUUUUUAAACCAUCAAUUUUUUCUUCAAAGUUUUUUUGAAUAUUUUCAAUAUUUUCUUGAUUCUUUAAUAAAUCAUCCAAUUUAGUAUUAAAAGCCAUAUUUUCUACAUUUUCUGGUAAAACUUUUAUAAAUUCAUUCAUAUCUGUUUGAAUUAAAUUUAAAAUCUUUUUUUUGAGCAUCCAUUUUCGGAUUUUUGGCAUUUAAGAAUGUGGAAAUAUUUCCCAUAAGUGUUUCCAGCAUAGGAAACAUUUCUCUACCCAAAGAAUUUAUUUCCAUUUUUAAAUUAAAAAGUAUACCAAAAAAAUGGCACACAAAAUAAAAUCUCGAUGAACGCAUCGAGGUCGUUUCUUGUUGCGUUCCGUGUUGAUAGUGUGGAGGAUUUCCUGCUUGAUGAUGUUGAGGAAGCGGAGGACUCCUCGAUGGCAGUCAUCUCGAUGUCCUGUGCAGAGGGCCGAGACUUCGCUGAUUGAGGGCUUACGGAACCCCUAGGUGCCCGCAAGGGCGGAGCAGGUGUCACAGGUGGAGGGGCAGGUGGCGUCUCCUCCGCAGGUGAGGCCGGGGGCGCUGUUGUUGAUGGCCGGGGUGCGCCUGCUGGUUGGAUCGCAGCUCGGGCCGCGGGCGAAGCGCCGGAGAUCUCCAAGGGAGGCGCCGGUGCUGGAUGCUGAGACGUUGGCCUCUGAGGCGGUGCAGGGGCGGUCGAUGGUGGGACGCCGGCAGGGGAGGCUGGUGGUGCCGAACUGGUGGUGUUAACCCGCCCUGCCAGCAGGGGGCAGUUGGCCCUGAGGUGCCCCUGGCCGUGGCGUCUGGAACACUUGAUGCCGGUGGACAGAUAAGCGGGCCAAGCCUCGCCUUUGAUGGUGAUGUCGAGGCGGGUGGGGAGCCUCUCGGUGGUCACUCCUUCGUGGAAGACGAUGAACGCCUCAUGGCGGCUGUCGGUGUAGGUGUAUGGGCCGGCCUUCAUCAUUUUGGGCGCGAUGGAUGUAGUGCGCCCAUAGGGCCUAAGGGCGUUGAUGAUGGCUGCGUCCUCCACGAAGAAGGGGAGGUUGCCCACCGUUAUCCUCUCCGCUCUUUUGCGGAAAGGGAAAGCCCUGAGGAGAGUGCCCUCAACCUCAAGGCCGUUGUUUAUGAGGCGCUCGGCGAGGCCUCUGUUUGCCAGCCCCAGGAGUUGGUGCCCGUUUACCUUGGAGACUUGACGACUCCGGCGGUUCCUCCAAGUAGCCUGUCCAGCGCCCCCAGGUAAUGGAAGGGCUUCAGUUCGGGGCCGUGUUCCAGGUAGACGCAGUGCUCCUCAGCAGAGGACGCCUGCUGCGCCCGGGCCUCCGCGAUGUGGGCCCUGGUUGUCGGGAUCUCCUGUGCCCGCGGCACCGAACGCGCUGAUGAUUGCGUUCGGCGACUGCUCCUGGCACCUCCGAUGUUGGAGGAUGGUGCAGCUGCUGUAGGCGAAUUCGAUGAUUCGCGGCGCCUCUUCUUGGUCUUCACGACAGUAAAGUCAUUGUCUGUCCCGGGGUUCAUCUCUUCGUCACAAUCUGCCCAGUUUCUAAUAGCAAGGGCAGCGCUAUUGGAUGACGAAGUUGCCGCUAAGCCGGACGUGACGUCGACGCGCGCGGCGGCCAGAUUUACAUUUCCGCCGUUAGCCGGCGGAUUUACAUACUCUUGAGUAUUAGAGUUUUCUUUAUAGAUUUCUCUAUAAAGUUCGUUUUUCGCUGAAUUCUUGCUACCGGUUGGAGGUGGGAUGCUGGGCCUUCCAGGCCUUUGUCCAGCAGAUCCUGGGCUCCUUGGCGAUGCCGAAUUUGGCAUGUUUAAGGAUGCAUUCUACAGCAGUCAGUUGGCUGUCAGAAUUGGUCCUCCGGGACUCAUGCCUCCCCUGCCACAGCAUUCUCACAUACAGGUGAGCUCCUCUUCAAUCAUUAACAUUGUUCCCCCCUACAGCAGACAUCCUUUCAUUCCAUUUACAUUUAUUUAGACCACCAGCUAGCUAUAUAAAACCAAUUACAUUAUAUUUGUCUUCCGCAUCCUCAACAUAUAUAUAUAUAUAUAUAACAAUAAAUAGUUGUUUAGUUUUAUGGUUUAGUUUUGUAUUAAAAUUAUCUUUAUUAUUUUGAGUAUUUAAAUUCAAAUUAUAAAAUUUGUAAAUUGUUAUUAUUUAGUAGAGAGAGAGAGAGAGAAAAAAAAAUCCUUUACUUCUAACACAUCAUUCAGUUAAUUAUAUAUUUAUAAUUAAUAACAAUAAAAUUUAACAACGUAACGUCUUUUGCAUCGGCUUUUACACGUCAUUUAGACAUACUCUAACCUAUAUAUAGAAUAAUAGAAGUGAGAAUAGUUAGUGAAAAGAGAGAAAGACAGAACCAUGCACUUUUAGUCAAACUAAUAAUAAGAAAGAGAAAAGUUUUGUAAAGAAGGUAGAUAAGAUAUAUAUAUAUAUAUAUAUAUAUACUAGUAGAAAAGCCAAGCCCGUCCAAGGACGGGAUCGGCUAGAGCAGGUGGAUUGAGAGGUUUAAAUCGGUUCAAGUUUGACUUUUCCUUUGGAACAGCAUUAAUGAAAAGUUUUACUGUAUGUCGUUUGUUCCAAUUCGAAAUACUUUGCUCUACAUUUUGGGCAAACUUGAUCAAGUUGGCCACAAAAGUGCAGGGGAAUUUGAUCUUCCUCGAAACAUGUCCCUGUUGGCAAAGGUAGAUUAUCUCCCUGUCGAAUUCUUUGCAUCCUCAGCCUACUGUUUUCCCUUUGAAAUAUGGUGUCAGGGAGUCGCUCAAGGACUGGCUUCAGCUGCUCAAGAGCCAAGGAUAUUUUCUUCGGUGAUUCUUCCUCCCGAGAGCUUUCCUCCUGCGCUCUGGGAACAGGAGGGAGGGGCAAGGUAGGAACAGCUAAUUUAGUUUCGCUAACUUUGCUGGAGAAGGACAUUUUUCCCGCUGGUGAAUUUGCGACGCUUGUAGCAGGCGUUGGUUGGACGGGAGUGGACACCUCGGGUGCCGAAAUAUUUUUGGAGGGGGUCUCCUGAGGCUUGCCAAGUGCAGCUGGGGGAGUCACGGUAAGUGCUGCAGAGGAUGACGAUUGAGUGGUAGGAGGAAGGUGCGCUAGGUCCUGCCUGGGUGUUUGUUGAUGAGUGGGACGUUCCUCCCUGUCUCUCCUGGGGCAGCUGGCUAGCCGAUGUCCCUGGCGAUGGCACAUGCUGCAUUUCACGCUUAGAGGGGGAGAGGGUGGGACAUAGUUAGGUUAGGUGGGGUUCUGGGUGAAUCAUGGCAUACAGUGGUCACAAAGUGUCCUUGUUAGCGUCCAUGACUUCAUCUAGCUCCAUGAAGUUACAGAGGGUGUCCGCGAGGUUCUUCACCUCCCCUACCAGGCACUUGAUCAGCUCUGUCCGCUGCUCAAUGAAGCAGACAAGGUGCAAGAUUUGAGGAAGGGCUGGCCGAGAGAGUGCAGGAUCUGGUAGUGGCGGGAGAGGACCAUGUUAUUCUCCUCCACCAGAGCCAUGAUGUCCACCGAGGGUUGAAAAGGCUUGGAGGCCUUCUUCUUGGAGGGAUCCAUGAUGGGAGAGCAGAAAGGAAGAGAUGUUUCCAUAGCAAGUGCUAUCUGGAAACUGAUCUCUGAGAAACUGAUGAGGUGAUCUGAUUAUACAAGGUCAUGGAGACUGAAAAUUCAUGGAUUAAAUUUAUAAUCUUGGUAGGGUUGUAAUAUAAGUCCUGUCUUGAGGUUUCCAUACAUUCCAAGAGGUGGUCCUGCAGAUGGUGCAUUGUGGGAAGACACCAACCUGGAAAAGGAGCGAUUCUUUCUAUUCCGGGUUAAUUGGACUUUUAAAGCAAGGUCUUCUAACCCCUAUGGCAGAAUGCCACUUCCAGUGGCAAGGGACCCUAGGAUCUGGCAGCAAAGAUGUCUUGCAGGGGUGGAGGAAACAUAGAGAUGGCAGGGGAACAGCGUCUGGGAGCAGUGAGUGGCAGGAGUCUUGGCUGGGGAGGAAAUCCAGUAGGUGAGGACAAUGAAGGCAGCAGGUCCUGGAAGCCUAGAAUUUGAGAGCCCUAGACCUCAGGAAAGAGCAGCCAGAGGCUCUCGCCUCAUGUUUGUCCGGAAGGCCCUUGGCACAGCAGUUGGCACACUUGGUGGUGUGCUGGUUGGCUAGGGAUGGACAGGCACGGCCCUCGUGACCUUCUUCACCGCAGUGGAAGCACUUUGGAGCCCUGGAGCAUUGUCCGGAGUUGUGACUAAAAUAACAAUAUUGUCAUCAAAGUUCUGUUUUAGAUUAUUGAGUUUGAAAGCCAAAUUUCCUUAAUUACUUAUGUUGGCCUCAAGGUCUACAUUUGUAUCAAAUGUUGAGGACAAUGGCACUUCCAAUAUUACAAUUCUUAUAUGUAACAUUGUGAUUUAUCCAUGGUCCAGGGGACAAUUUGGUGGGGGAUGUUUUUUUCUUUUUUACUUUGAAAAAUCUUCUUCAACGUAUUUCCAAGAAAUUCUGCAGCUUUUUUGACGACUACUUUAGCUGCAGCUUUUGCGGCGGAUCCUCCCACUUCUGCUGCCAAGGCCUGCUUUGGAGGAGCAAAGGCAAAACAGCCAAAACCACCGCUUCUUCCAUUGAAGGGUGGACCGCCUCCUCCUUCUUGAUUCUUUGUCUCCAGAUUGGUUCUCCUCCAGUCUCUUGGCCACCUCUUGUGGAGGUAGGAGGCCAGAUGCUGCGCCAGGUCGUGGAAGUUGGUCCUCAGAGCAGCGUGGUACUGGAGCUGCUCGACCCCCACCAGCUGGCCAUUGAGCUCCAGGGCCUCUCCGCUCACCUCCAGGAACCUCCGGAACACCUCCCUCAGCUCCUCCACUUGGCCUGAGGGGAACUGGCCCACCUGGGAGUCCUCCAGGAAGGCCUGGCAGUAGGCCAGGGGGCCGGCGUUCACCUUUCUCCAGCUGGGAUCUGGUCUCCACCAGGGUCCCGUCCUGCAGAGAGAUCCGGUAGUCCACUACCAGUUUAUUGCCCAGACUAGGGGUAGCUGAUCCCUUGCCCUGCUCCACCACUCUCUUGCGGACUCCUCCAUCCCCGGAGAGGUCCUCCCAGAUCUCAGCCUGGUCUUGGGUGUCCAUGGGGCCUGAUGAUGGGUAGGCCAUGUACAGCCAGUGAGUGUUCUGGCCAAAACGUCCAUACCAACCAGGGGUCUUGUUGUUGGCAAUGGCAUACUCCAGGCUUGGCAUGGUGAAGAUGUAUUUCACUCCGCCUAAAGACGCGGCGUCACCCAAUCCGGAGAGGAAUAAGGGGUAGCUGAUCCCUUGCCCUGCUCCACCACUCUCUUGCGGACUCCUCCAUCCCCGGAGAGGUCCUCCCAGAUCUCAGCCUGGUCUUGGGUGUCCAUGGGGCCUGAUGAUGGGUAGGCCAUGUACAGCCAGUGAGUGUUCUGGCCAAAACGUCCAUACCAACCAGGGGUCUUGUUGUUGGCAAUGGCAUACUCCAGGCUUGGCAUGGUGAAGAUGUAUUUCACUCCGCCUAAAGACGCGGCGUCACCCAAUCCGGAGAGGAAUAGGGAGAUUGGCUCCGGAUUGUGGGUUCCCGCGUGCUUCAUUGCGCGGAUGAAGUCUCUUUCAGGGACUGUGGUACCACGGGGGCUCAAAUCUGAGAGCUCAAGAACUCUCGCGAUGGCGUGGAGCCCCGCGUAAUAUGCAAAUGUCCCGGGGGAAAUCCUUUUGGCGAAGGAGGUGCCGGAUGCAGUGAGGCGCAGGUAGGUUUCCUCCACCAGGGUGUUCCACCCGAAGAACCCUGGACGCACAAAGUUAUAGCCACGCUUUAUGCUACCACUGUUAGAAUGGUUUUAGGUUUUAUUUUAAGCUGUAUUUUUGCUUGUAUGUUUCUUUUAAGACACACAGGUCUUACAGAGGAUUCUCCUUGGGGUUACAAGGCGGAGAAUGUUUUGUUGGUCCAGUUCCACAGGCGGUCCUGUCGGUGUCUCGGAAGAAAUCGGCUCCUGGGCCGCUGGCUGAGUCGAGUGUUCCGGCUCCUCCAGGGCCGCAGAGUUGCUUCCAGGUGUCUUCUUCUUGAUCCUCGUAGAUGGUGCGCUCUUUUGGGCCCGUUUUUCAACCGUAGAGCAAUCCUGGUGGUGUUUGGCGCUUCUGCAGGUCCGCAGGUCUUUGAAGCUUUGUUGGCAGACCGUGCAGUCAAAAACCACGUUGUUGAUCUUGUGUAGUACACGAAGGUGCUUCACCAGAUCGUUGUGCUUUUUGUAGACACCACUGCGGGUUACUCCCACCAUCCUGUAACACUCGGGACAUUUAAAGACCUCAGGUAGCUGAUUGCUGAGGUAAACCAGGUAACCAGGUAGUUCCAGGCCGGCAGGGAGUCAGGAAGUAGGGGCAGGGCUGUCGGGCUGAAGUCUUGUACUCCAAGCAGAAGGGCUGUCUGUAGCCUGUGUAGCAUAAAAGCUGGACAGGAGAAGAGGAGGUGAUCCACAGUCUGUGACUCUUCCAGGCAGUGAGGACAUGUUGGAUCUCUAUGCCAGAGAUCUGCCAGAACGUGGCCGUGACCGGUAAGGAUGGUAGUGGUGGCCAUCCCAAGACGUAUUUUGGACAGGAAUGACCUAAGGCGGAUUGGGGAGGUCGCAAAUCUUUUUAGUUUUCUGUUAUGGUAAUCUUGGGUGUAGACUAAGGUCCAAGCUUCCAGAGCAGAUGAGUGGGCACGGCUGCGGGCAAAGCUUUGGGGAAUGAUGGAGUAGGAUUGUUCCAGGUUAGAGAUUGCUGCAGUCUUUGCUGCCUGGUCAGCCAGUUCAUUGCCUGAAAUUCCACUGUGGCCCUUUACCCAACAGAGGCUGACCUGAGGUGCUUGGUCUAGCGCUAGAAUUAUCUCCGCAAUUAGAGCCGUUUGGGCAGGACCAGGAGUACAUAUAGUGGCCAGUGCAGAUCUGCAGUCAGACGCUAUAGCAGUGCUGUAGUUGUAAGGUUUUAUUCUUACGUCUCAUUAGAACAUCUAUAUCCUGAUCCUAGCUAACUCAGGGGUUAAACCCAGGUACAUACAUAUUUGUAAUUUAUUAUACAUAGUAAUAACAAUACGCCUUUUUUGAAUAAUAACCACUGUAGAUUAUAUUUUAAACACAUACAUUCAAAAUCUAUAACACACACCAAGGUUUUACAUGUGAUAUGUGGUUAAAUAUGAAUAUCAACACACAUUGUUCAAUAUCCACACUCGUUUUAUUCGGCAUAAGAAAAAUUUUACACAAAAAUGAAAACAUUCUUUAUAUGUGGAUAGCAUCAGUGGGCAUAGGGAUAUUGGGACAUUAGAUUAUCUCAUCUUACAAAAUUUUUAAAUCCUAUGAAGAAGUGACUGAGAAUCUACGACUUGGUAAUUGGUAAUAAAUUGACUUACCUAGUAUCUCGACUACAUACCUCUCCUGAUAAGAAUUCUAUCUGUUCCUUCCGAAAGCUUGCCCCCAGCCCCGUUGGACGCUCGAUAAAAACUAAAAUCUAGACUGCCGUCUUUUCCCUACAGCGCCCUCAAUCUCAAUCAUUUCCUACAGAGUAAUAAAACUUGAAUAUACAAAAAUUCUCGGAAUAUUAAAAAUAAUAAUAUUAUUAUAUUUUAAAAAAUUAAGGAAUAAAAUAAUAUUUUAUUAUAUUUUUAUUUUAAAGGAAAAAUUAUGAAUUAGUAAAUAUACUUGCUCGACUUAUGAGAAAUCAAUUUAGAAUAAAAUAAAUAUUAACGGAAAUUUAAAAUAUAUCUUUCUUAUUGAGAGGUAAUUUAGAUUAACAAUGAAAUCAAAUAAAAUUUAAGAUGCCUGCCCCUCUGGGAAAUUUAUAUACUAAUUUCUUCUUUAAGAAAUCCAAAAAUAUUACUAAAUAUGCCCCAUCUAUCAAAAUGUGAUGUCACAAGUUAUAUACAAAAUUAAAAGAAGGAAGAAAGGAAAGAAAAAAAAAAAAGGAGGUGAAGAGAUGGUUUGGUUUAACAAAGACGAAUGCUCGAAGUCCUUUUCUUUCUUGUCGAGGCGGCUUCUCCACUGUCCAUCAGCUUUCUGUUUAUGCUGUGGGUGAACUUCUGCUUCUGUUUGCAUCGGGCUUCUGGCUACUUAAUCAGGGCCGAUGUCAUCCUCCUACAGCAGAUCUUGGGAUACGCGUCCAGGGCUGUGUCCUCCCCUGGCAGAUCUUGGGAUUCACGUCCAGGGCUGUGUCCUCCCCUGCCUUGGCCUUUGAACCACCGUCGGCCAUUGCUGUGGGACUUCCAUCUGGACACCAAACACUUUCGGCGAGACACUGCGUGUAUAUAUAUAUGAUGUAAAAGAAUGUUUACAUCUUUGUUGGGUCUGUUUGGUGGAAAAUCUGACCCAACAAUUCCUCCCCUGCCAGAGUAAAACAAAAUGUGUUUAUUCCAAUUCAGAUCUGUUCUUACUCUAAGAGAAAUAUGAAAUUGGGAGAAAUGCAUUUUUUUUUUUAUGAUACCAGUAUGUAAUCACCGACACUCAGAACCGACACCCUGAAGGUCUUGUGGAUCGGGGAACCUCGAAGAAUGAAGUCGAGUCUUGUGUAGACACUCUGCGUCUUGUCCAUGUGUCAGGUUUUCCGGUCUCGUUUUUAACUCCUUUGAUGAAAUUCUCGAUCAAGGAAAAGAGUGUUUCCCUGUCGGGUGCAGCUGUCCACUUUCCAUCCUACUCUUCCUGAAAGUAAGUGAGGGAUUUUCAGGGCGGGCGCUGCUGGAGUUCAUCAACUGGCUGUGAAGCUGGAGGAGGGGUGACCGGAGUAUCCUGUGGCAAGUGGGCAGGGUCGUCAGGUGGGGCGGCUGCUUGAAGAUCAACGCUGUCCAAAACCUGCGGCGUUUGCACGUUGGGAGGGUCGCUAUUUACGACCGGCAGCCGUAGGUUGUCUGUUGCUUCCUCUUGUUGGACCAAGGGACUCUGACGGCUGUGCAGGGAUGGAUGCUGGAGGGGCGUAUUUCUUCAGAGGAAGUACCCCUUUGAUCUUCCUCGGCGGCGUUCUCUGGUAGGGGGGGGACAAAAGUUGUUUGGCCCGCUUCGCUGGUAGCCAAACUUGUCCCGUGAGCCUCCGGUCUGAAGGGUGUAGUCUCGGCGGAGAGGUCACUCACAGGGGGCGGGGGUGUUUUGUUGGUCCAGUUCCACAGGCAGUCCUGUCGGAGUCUCUGAAGAAAUCGGUUCCUGGGCCGCUGGCUGAGUCGAGUGUUUCGACUCCUCCAGGGCCGUAGAGUCGCUUCUAGGUGUCUUCUUCUUGAUCCUCUUAGAAGGUGCGCUCUUUUGGGCCCGUUUUUCAACCGUAAUCAUGCCAUAGCAAACUCUUUCAAAAUCUGUAGAGAUAUUUUGCCCAUAGAAGAGAAGCAAAAAAUACUUUUGAUUCCAGCAGGUUUAAAUACAAAUUGAAAUAAGAUUAAUAAACUAAUGUAAAUAUGUGAAAGAGUUGUAUAAAAGUGAAUUCCUGCUCCGCCUUUGGAAGGAGGGAUGAAGAGCACCUCGUUGCUGGCCUGCAGAGGCAGGCCAGGCCAUUUCUUCCCUAGUCUCUUCAUCAGCAGGUCCACUUCCCUGAAGGUCUUGUGGAUCGGGGAACCUCGAAGAAUGAAGUCGAGUCUUGUGUAGACGAAGGUCUUGGUGGCGUCGAUCUUCUGCCAGGGAGCGAGGAGGCUGCUAUGGAUUUUUUCUGCAUCUUCAUUGAUUCCCUUGAUGGCUUCCUCAGGGUUUCUUGUUUUGAUAAAUCCGGUGGGUACUCCAAGGUGACAGUACGUGUCCUCUUCUCUCAUUGCUGAGAUCGGCUGUUCUUGGAUGCAGAAGGUCCUGGUCAGGGUAGUCCUCUUUUUCCUGCAGUCCAAGUGAAGAGUCGCGCAUUUGGGGCCCUUGAAGUGGAGUCCGAUCUUUCCCGCCAGAUCGCCGGUGGUGUCCAGGGGCGCUUGUAGAGACUCCUUGUCCUUGACCAUGAUAAGGAGGUCAUCGGCAUAGGCCAGCACCGACACAUAGUGCCCGAGUAAGCAGACACCAUGGUCCUUCGCCAUCGAGGCGAGGGUGCAGACUAUUACCUCUAUGGCCACGUUGAAGAGGGUUGGGCUUCCAGGGCAGCCUUGCUUCACCCCGCGUUUAAAGGGGAUGGGCAAUGUGGUUCCCAGCAGGGUCCUGAUCUAGGUAGAGGAGUUCGUGUACAGGUCCCUGAAUACAGCGAUUACCUUCUUAGGGAUACUAAAUGCAUCUAACACAUUGAAGAGGUUUUCGUGCGGUACCGAGCCGAAUGCAUUUUCAAGAUCCAGCCAGGCGAAGCAAGCUUGUCUGCUGGUUCUCUUGGUCUCCUCGAUGGCACUCUGGACCACAAAAUUAUGUUCCAGGCACCCCUCGAACUCCAUGAAGCCCUGCCUUGGAGAGCUGUCCCGUCGUCGCUGCCCAUCUCCUGAGCUUAUCAGCCAGGACCGCGGUGUAAAGUUUUGCAAUCGUGUUGCCCAGCGUGAUAGGCCUCCAGUUCCCUAGGUCCUCGGCGUCCCCUUUCUUGUGGACCAAGAUAGAGGAGCUUUCCUUCCAUGAAGGGGGUACCGCCCUCAUCUGGAAGAUCUGGGUGAGGAUGGUGGCAUUGGGAUCCACCCGUUUCAGUUCCUGGUAGCUGAUGCCAUCGGGACCAGGAGCAGUGUUUCCCAUCUUGAGAAGGCGGUACCAUACUGCGUUGGAAGAGAUGGGUUCUUCCAACUGGGCUCCGUCCUGGGGGGCGAAGUCCUUGAGGAGAUCUGGGUCGGGGCUGAACUCGGUGUUGUCCCCAACCAUGCGUUUCUCGAAGUGUUCUUCGAUCAUUUGGAUGGGGAUGGUGCAGCCCGGGGAGCGUUGGCCCAAUUUUGGCAUUUAAGAAUGUAGAAAUAUUUUCCAUUAGUUUUUCCAACACAGGAAACAUUUUUUUUCCUAUUGAAUUUAUCCCCAUUUUUAAUUUAAAUAAUGUAUUACCAAAUAAUUUGGCAUACAAAAUAAAAUUACCAACCUUAAAUUAAUUGGAAUAUUUUGUAAACAAACCAUUAUACGAGUCACCACAGAUUCUGUACAUCGUAUCAAAACUUCCAAUGAGAUUUCUCUACACACUGCUUGAAUCUCAUUCCAAAGAAUGUCUAGGUUACGUGGUUUACGUUUGUACACCCCAUCUUUUACUGUGCCCCACAAGAAGAAAUCCAGUGGUGUAAGGUCUGGAGAGCAUGCUGGAAACUCGAUUGGCCCCCUGCGUCCUAUCCACUGGCCCGACAAAUUUUGAUCCAGAUAAGCUCGUACAUCCCUGUGAUAGUACGGCGGAGCACCAUCUAGUUGAAAAUAAAAAUUAUCAUUACCGUAUAAUGCACGAAUGGCAGGAAAUAUGGAAUCAGCAAGCAUUGUUAGGUAAUUAAUACCAGUUACAGUGCCUUCAAAUCGAAAAGUAUACAUUUUUUUGAAGCACCCUGUAUUAGGGGGCGUUUUGUUGGUCCAGUUCCACAGGCAGUCCUGUCGGUGUCUCGGAAGAAAUUGGCCACUGGCUGAGUCGAGUGUUCCGGCUCCUCCAGGGCCGCAGAGUCGCUUUUAGGUGUCUUCUUGCUCCUCGUAGAUGGUGCGCUCUUUUGGGCCCAUUUUUCAACCGUAGAGCAAUCCUGGUGGUGUUUGGCGCUUCUGCAGGUCUUUGAAGCUUUGUUGGCAGACCGUGGCUGCCACCAAGGCUGAUCUUCUUCGGUGUCUUACCGGCGUUGGGGAGCUUGAUAGUAAUGUCUCCCAACGUUGGGUUGCGGACCCACUAAAUGCCGAUCCUUUUUGAGAGGCGUCGGGAAGCGUUUCUGGCAUCACUGCAGAGUGAGGUGAUGUCUCCACCAACCCUGGCAAAAUCACCGUCAAGUUUCCCCGACAGAUACCCUGCCAGGUCCUCUUCCAGUGCAGGCCGUCCCAGCUUCCUCUCCGCAACUCUUUUAAGAAGGCUUUUGGCGAGUGCAGAGGUUUCAGAGUCUGGGCUCGUGAGGAGCCGGAAGGCGUGUUGGAUCUUGGCUAAAUCGGUCCUGUCACCAAACGGCACCAUUCCUGCUCCCCCUUUGGAAGGAGGGAUGAAGAGCACCUCGUUGCUGGCCUGCAGAGGCAGGCCAGGCCAUUUCUUCCCUAGUCUCUUUAUCAGCAGGUCCACUUCCCUGAAGGAGGUCUUGUGGAUCGGGGAACCUCGAAGAAUGAAGUCGAGUCUUGUGUAGACGAAGGUCUUGGUGGCGUUGAUUUUUUCCACAUCCUCCUUGAUUCACUUGAUGGCUUCUCCGGGGUUCCUUGGCUUGUUGAAUCUGGUGGGUACUCCAAGGUGACAGUACGUGUCCUCUUCUCUCAUUGCUGAGCUUGGCUGUUCUUGGAUGCAAUGUCAGCAAUGGGUAUGCUAUUGCAUGCUCCGGUUUAUGGACCGAAAGGUCUGGGUGGCCACUGCUCCUAGGAUGUUCUUGGAUGCAGAAGGUCGUGGGCAGGGUAGUCCUCUUUUUCCUGCAGUCUAAGUGAAGAGUCGCGCAUUUGGGGCCCUUGAAGUGGAGUCCGAUCUUUCCCGCCAGAUCGCCGGUGGUGUCCAGGGGCGCUUGUAGAGACUCCUUGUCCUUGGCCAUGAUAAGGAGGUCAUUGGCAUAGGCCAGCACCGACACAUGGUGCCUGAGUAAGCAGACACCAUGGUCCUUCGCCAUCGAGGCGAGGGUGCAGACUAUUACCUCUAUGGCCACGUGGGGGGGGGUUUUGUUGGUCCAGUUCCACAGGCGGUCCUGUCGGAGUCUCGGAAGAAAUCGGCUCCUGGGCCGCUGGCUGAGUCGAGUGUUCUGGCUCCUCCAGGGCCGCGGUGUCGCUUCCAGGUGUCUUCUUGCUCCUCGUAGAUGGUGCGCUCUUUUGGGCCAGUUUUUCAACCGUAGAGCAAUCCUGGUGGUGUUUCUGCAGGUCUUUGAAGCUUUGUUGGCAGACUGUGCAGUCUAAAACCACGUUUUUGAUCUUGUGUAGAACACGAAGGUGCUUCACCAGAUCGUUGUGCUGCUUGUAGACACCACUGCGGGUUACUCUCGCCAUCCCGUAACACUCGGGACAUUUAACCCUUUAGGCGCCGGCCGCUUUCAAGGUCAUUACCAUAUAAGCACCAGCCUGCAAAAUAUUGAAAACGGUGCACUUUUGAUUUUCAUUUUUAAAACUAUUUAAUGCCUCGCAAAUUUCAUACAAAAAUUAUGUAGUAUGCAAUAGAAUAUGUACUUUUAGAUGCAUUGAAUAUUAAUUUAAUAAAUCAUAAAGAUAUAUUUUUAAAAAUAUAUUUAAUAUGCAAUUUUGGAAAAAAUAAAAAAUAUUUACAUUUUAAUUUCAAAUUGGGGGUAUAUAUAAUCAAGAUAUAUUAUAUUUGAAAGUUUUAUAAGGAAAUAGGAACAAUUUACUUUAUUUACAAGUGUGUUUCAGGGCGCAUAUUGCAUGAAGGGCUUUAUGACAUCCAGUGCAAAUAGUUCGGGAUCUUUUUCGGUUUUGUGGAGUGCUGCACUCCACACACCUCAUUUCCCUUUUUUGAGGCAAACUCUGGACUUGAAUCUGGCUGGUUGAAGGAUUGCAAGUUUCUUGAAUGUUUUCCACCAGGCUUUUUAUGACGGAGAUAUUGAAUUUCUGUCUAGACAACAGGGGAGAAUCUUUGCAAUGUUGAAGAUAGAUGAUGUAAAAAUCCGGUGGGCUGGCGUCGGGAGACUUCACUGGAAUGUCCGAGUUCCUGAUAAAAUUUAGGCCUAGGGUGUCCUUCAUUUCUUGUAGGAAUUGUUGGGUUUUGUUGGAGGUAUGGGAAGAGGCUUUGUCGUGAUGAAGGAACACUUUGUCCAUUUCCCCUGGGUAAAGGUCCUUCAGUUGUUCGAUGACAGGUUUCAGAACGCAUUCUAUAUAGAAUUCUGAGUUCACCUUCACCUUCGAUGGAACCUUUAUGAGCGGAAGGACUCCACGGCCAGUCAUUACCCCGACAACCAUGAAACCUUUAGGGAAAGUUUCGGAGCAUUGGUGAACCCAAUUAUCCGGGACCUGAUUGCCUCUUUUGAUGUAACAGAUCUUCCGGAUUCCAUUGCAAUACGUCACAUACAUCCAUGCUUCGUCCAAUGUUGCAGUAUAUUCCGAUCUGGAACCGGCCAGGUGUUCCUCGUAGAGCUUCCGGGCAUUCGUUGCACGGUUUUUCAUGUGGAAAGGGGUGAGCUUGUGAACCUUGCCUUUUCGUCGGGUAUCCAGUUCCAAAUCUUUGUGAAUGAUGUUAUUUAUCGUUUUUAGCGAUGUUCCACACAUUCUGGAAAGUUGGCGCUGAGAUGGUGGAUUUUCAGUAGUUGCUAGCCGCUUUACCUUGGAAACCGUGGCGGGGGUCCGCACCGGACGUGGUCGAUCGACUUGAAAUUUUUGCCCAUUGGAUUCAGCUUCCCUUUUCUUUCCGAUGCCAUUUACUACCCUACAUAUUGUAGCUUUGCCAACAUCUAGUCCUUCUGCUUUUAGCUUUUUCACUAUGACGCUAUAACUGUUUCCUUCUUUGGAAAGGGUCCGAAUUGUUUGUUCGACUUGGAGCGUUAGUCUCUCUCCCCCCAUGUUGCAAAAAUCAUGAUACCUGAUGAAAAUGAAUUCUCCAGAAGAUUCUAGAUCUAUUGGAACCAGUGUCGUGUGCAGCAUGCCUGCACGUGCAAAACGCGAGCGCGCGAAAAUCGUUUCAUUUGAAAGGAAACACCCUCCGUAAUUGGCAGUUUUUAUGGCAGCUGGAAAUCCUUUUCUAUUGGCCCUCACAGUUCCAGUCAGGUAAGUGCCAUUCUUGGCCAGAUCCCGAGCGAGAUCAAUGCUCGUGAAGAAAUUGUCUACCACAAUAUGAUGCCCCUUGUUCAACAAAUUAGAAUUGGUUAAAAGCUUCAUUGGAACAUCAUAUGAGAGACUUUUGUGGAUCUGGCCAAGUUUGCCUUUAUAUGGCUCGAACUGGAGGCAGUAUCCUGUCUCGGAUUCACAUACCAUCCAGAGCUUGAUCCCAAAGCGACCAUGAUGCUUUCCCGGCAUAUAUUGUCUGAUAUAGGUUUUUAACUUUUAAUUUGACAAUUUUAAUUUAUAUUUAGACAUUUUUCAUUUUAUUUUAGACAUUUUCAAUUUUAAUUUAGACAUUUUUCAUUUCAAUCCAGACAUUUUUCAUUUUAAUUUAGACACAUUGGCUUUUUAUAGAAAACUCCCUGUGUCUAAAUUAAAAUGAAAAAUGUCUAAAUUGAAAUGAAAAAUGUCCAAAUUAAAAUUGAAAAUGUCUAAAUAAAAAUGAAAGUGUCUAAAUUAAAAUGAAAAAUGUCUAAAUAUAAAUUAAAGACAUAGAUCGCGAAAGAAAGCGGCUUCCUUAGCGCUUCCUGCGUCCGGUGGAGUUGUUGAGAGUUUUCGUGAGGAUCCCCAUAUUUAUGACAUCAGGGCCACCGCUGGGGCAGUAGCUGCGGGUAUGAGCCUUGUCACCCGUCUCUCCGCAGAUGUCGCACACGUGGGACCGCAACACGGGACAUAGGAUGUGGCCGGUGACUGGGUCCCGCAGCUCGUGAGUGGCGAUAUACUCCCGCGUUUCGCCGUUCCGCGCGCAGAAGGCGCAGUGUAAGCGUCUGAUCAGCGGCGGGUAGGUGACAGGGGUCGGCAACAGUGGGGAUGUAGGGGAACUGCUGGGGACAGGGGACGUGUCGGGCUUCCGUCCUACUGUGAUUCCAAACUGUCUCAGCCUUCUUAUUUCAGGAUCCAAAUCCAGAGGACUGGGCUCUCCCCAGCAACCUGUCGUCUGACCCGGGGCCUCUCCUCCAUCUGAGCUACUGGACGCCGAAGUGGCUGACGAGGUCCAGGAUCCGCUGACAGGGGACGAGGGGUAGUUGCUGGCAGAAUAUAAAGAAAUGUUUAGCUGUAAUAUGACUCAAUGUGAGGCCCGAUAUGGGGAGCAGAAGUGGAGGGGGGAGAUCAUGUGACGUCGGCCGAUGUAUCGGCCGACUGGCGCUAGCUGACUCAAGGUCAUUGACGACCGAUCGGCCGGCUGGCGCCUAAAGGGUUAAAGACCUCAGGUAGCGGGAACGGCAUCCUAAACGGAUCACAAAGAGCAGGGGCAAGGUUGUGUACAUGUGUCACAUUUGUGUGAGAACCUGGUAGGCGUGUGGUGUCAGACGGGCUUAAAACCAGAGCAUCGUGUUUGUGUCACGUGUUACACAGUGUGCAUCAGCGACCUGGUUGUUAUUACCAGGAGGUAAACAAACCUGGUCACGUGACAAUGUGUGCAGAAACAUGCGCAAUAGGAUGGCCAAACUCGUCGAGACGAGGACGCAUGUCACGUGACCAAACAGACAUGGGUGCAAUAACCUGGUCGAUCGCCGGGCCGCGCGGCUCGCCGCUGGUCCCCGAGUCACGUGACCGCGCAGGCGUGAUUUCCGCUGUGUCAAGUACGAGACUUGGCAACGUGGAAAUCCCACCAGAAGCACUGUCCCGCGAACAGGGCCCAGCAGAAGUGCCAGGCCAAGAAAUUGGUGAAAUAAUUGCCUGCAUUUAAAAAUAUGGUUUGGGCUAUUAUCACGAAUCAAUAUUCUAUAACUGUAGAAGUCCAUUGAUGAAACCUUUUUAUUGGUUAUUGCACCUGAUAAUGGCUCAAUUUGCAUAAUGUUAAAAUGGUAGCCGUCUUCACCAUAAGGGAAUAUCAAUGGAUAUUGAAGGGCAUCAUAGGACCGAUGUGUUUUUGAGAUUUGCUGUAUUAAGAUAGGUCACGCCAUCCUCAAACUCGAUCGUUGAUAUUACAAAAUCACAUAAGAGGAAGGAGGCGGAGGAAGUCACCUCGACGCAGAACUCACUAGAGCCAUAAUGAGUGGAAAUAGUAGCCAUGUCAUCAGAACCAAAGGUUUGAUAGCCCACAAGCAGAGCACCAAGCCCAGUAAUAUGGUCAGGAGUGACCUUGGCGAUAGGCAUCCAGGAAAAUGCUUUGUCGCCAGCUCGGGGAGUGUAGGUGUAGGUUCUAGUGUCACUUUCUCUAAAAGUGACGGCUCUGUGGUCGCGUUGAAUGUCUGUGAGAUGCAUCCAUGUGUAGUCUACACUGGAGUUUGGAGUAUCCAUGGAAUAGGGAAUGAAACAGACCGAGAUUGUACCACCUCUAUUCCUUACAUCAGUGUUAGUCAUAAUCCGGAAAUGCAGCGAUUGGAGCCGAGCCUCACGAUAAUGGCAAAGAUAUUUACCAUCGUCGAUGCCAGCGUCCCAUUUCGCAGCAAGCCAUGGUGAAUUGUUAUUAUUUAAUAGAGAGAGAAAAAAAAAAAUUCUUUUCUUACGCAUCAUCCAUAUAUAUUUAUAAUUAAUAACAAUAAAAUUUAACAACGUAACGUCUUUUGCAAUCGGCUGUUACCCGUCAUUUAGACAUACUCUAAUUUAUAUAUAGAAUAAUAGAAGUGAGAAUAUAUUUAAUAGUAUAAAUUUUAGAAGUUAUAUAUAGAGAAAAGAGAGAAAGACAGAACGACAUAUAUAUAUAUGUCGUAAACCCGGGUAAGACAACAAAUGGGUUGGAAGCAGUCGGGGUUGAGUGGCAAGGCGUGCAGAGUGGGAAGUCCGCACGGGACAAUAAGGACAAAGUUUGGGACCAAAAGAUGCUCUCCCCAGUACGUCUCAAGUGGCACCAGGACCAGGGGAAAGUUGAGGAUUAACUGAGGAAAAGCUCGGCGUCCAGCCUGAAGCCGCGGGGACCGUCGUGAGAUGAUAAUGGCCUACAACCGAGCGGGGCUGUCUGAAAAUAUCUACUGUAACCUAAAUAAUUGUCGAAAUCUGGACGCCCCUUCUUUUGUCCGUCUCUGGAUCCCCCAGGUGUCCCGUGGCAAGCUGGUGUCACUUUGAGACGACUAGAAAAGGCGUCAUACUUUAUUACUUACAUAUCACAUUGUUUAAAUUACGAUAUAUAUAUAUGUAAUAUUGUUGCAAAUGUCCUCGGCGUCCCCUUUCUUGUUGAGCAAGAUAGAGGAACUUUCCUUCCAUGAAGGGGGUACCGCCCUCAUCUGGAAGCAGACCUGGAAGAUCUGGGUGAGGAUGGUGGCUUUGGGAUCCACCCGUUUCAGUUCCUGGUAGCUGAUGCCAUCGGGACCAGGAGCAGUGUUUCCCAUCUUGAGAAGGCGGUACCAUACUGCGUUGGAAGAGAUGGGUUCUUCCAACUGGGCUCCGUCCUGGGGGGCGAAGUCCUUGAGGAGAUCUGGGUCGGGGCUGAACUCGGUGUUGUCCCCAACCAUGCGUUUCUCGAAGUGUUCUUCGAUCAUCUGGAUGGGGAUGGUGCAGCCCGGGGAGCGUUGGCCCAAUUUUGGCAUUCAAAAAUGUAGAAAUAUUUUCCAUUAGUUUUUCCAACACAGGAAACUUUUUUUCCUAUUGAAUUUAUCUCCCAUUUUUAAUUUAAAUAAAGUAUUACCAAAUAAUUUGGCAUACAAAAUAAAAUUACCAACCUUAAAUUAAUUAGAAUAUUUUGUAAACAAACGAUUAUAUUAGGGGGACGUUUUGUUGGUCCAGUUCCACAGGCGGUCCUGUCGGAGUCUCGGAAGAAAUCGGCUCCUGGGCCGCUGACUGAGUUGAGUGUUCAGGCUCCUCCAGGGCCGCGGCGUCGCUUCCAGGUGUCCUCUUCUUGCUCCUCGUAGAUAUUGCGCUCUUUUGGGCCCGUUUUUUAACCGUAGAGCAAUCCUGGUGGUGUUUGGUGCUUCUGCAGGUCCGCAGGUCUUUGAAGCUUUGUUAGCAGACCGUGCAGUCAAAAACCACGUUGUUAAUCUUGUGUAGAACACGAAGGUGCUUCACCAGAUCGUUGUGCUGCUUGUAGAUCAACGCUGUCCAAAACCUGCGGCGUUUGCACAUUGGGAGGGUCGCUAUUUACGACCGGCAGCCGUAGGUUGUCUGCUGCUUCCUCUUGUUGGACCAAGGGACUCUCUGACGGCUGUUCAGGGAUGGAUGCUGGUGGGGCGUAUUUCUUUAGAGGAAGUACCCCUUUGAUCUUCCUCGGCGGCGUUCUUAUUGAUGUUGUAGGACCUCUGCAGCUUCGCCUCAGCAUCAAAGCUGGGUGCCGAUGGUCGGGUACUCCGAGGUUUUUAUGGUGGUGGCACUCUGCGUCUUGUCCAUGUGUCAGGUUUUCCGGUCUCGUUUUUAACUCCUUUGAUGAAAUUCUCGAUCAAGGAAAAGAGUGUUUCCCUGUCGGGUGCAGCUGUCCACUUUCCAUCCCACUCUUCCUGAAAGGGAGUGAGGGAUUUUCAGGGCGGGCGCUGCUGGAGUUCAUCAACUGGCUGUGAAGCUGGAGGAGGGGUGACCGGUGUAUCCUGUGGCAAGUGGGCAGGGUUGUCAGGUGGGGCGCUGCUUGAAGAUCAACGCUGUCCAAAACCUGCGGCGUUUGCACGUUGGGAGGGUCGCUAUUUACGACCGGCAGCCGUAGGUUGUCUGCUGCUUCCUCUUGUUGGACCAAGGGACUCUCUGACGGCUGUGCAGGGAUGGAUGCUGGAGGGGCGUAUUUCUUCAGAGGAAGUACCCCUUUGAUCUUCCUCGGCGGCGUUCUCUGGUAGGGGUGGGACAAAAGUUGUUUGGCCCGCUUCGCUGGUAGCCAAACUCGUCCCGUGAGCCUCCGGUCUGAAGGGUGUAGUCUCGGCGGAGAGGUCACUCACGGGGGGCGGGGGUGUUUUGUUGGUCCAGUUCCACAGGCAGUCCUGUCGGAGUCUCUGAAGAAAUCGGUUCCUGGGCCGCUGGCUGAGUCGAGUGUUUCGACUCCUCCAGGGCCGUAGAGUCGCUUCUAGGUGUCUUCUUCUUGAUCCUCUUAGAAGGUGCGCUCUUUUGGGCCCGUUUUUCAACCGUAGAGCAAUCCUGGUGGUGUUUGGCGCAGGUCUUUGAAGCUUUGUUGGCAGACCGUGCAGUGAAAAACUACGUUGUUAAUCUUGUGUAGAACAUGAAGGUGCUUCACCAGAUCGUUGUGCUGCUUGUAGACACCACUGCGGGUUACUCUCGCCAUCCCGUAACACUCGGGACAUUUAAAGACCUCAGGUAGCUGGAACGGCAUCCUAAACGGAUCACAAAGAGCGGGGGCAAGGUUGUGUAUAUGUGUCACAUUUGUGUGAGAACCUGGUAGGCGUGUGAGUGGGGGGUCAUUAGGGACUAACAAGAAGUGCUUCUAAAUCGAGAGAAGCUUUUAACUUCAGUAGUAUCCAGAAGCCUUACCACGGGUUGGAGUCAUUAGGGACUGACAAGAAGUGCUCCUAAAUCAAGAGAAGCUUUUAACUUCAGUAGUAUCCAGAAGCCUUACCACGGGUGGGGGGUCAUUAGGGACUGAGAAGAAGUGCUCUUAAAUCGAGAGAAGCGUUUAACUUCAGUAGUAUCCAGAAGCCUUACCACGGGUGGGGGUCAUUAGGGACUGACAAGAAGUGCUCCUAAAUCGAGAGAAGCUUUUAACUUCAGUAGUAUCCAGAAGCCUUACCACUGGUGGGGGGACAAACUGGACUAGCUGAAGUCACCGACAGAACUCUCGGGUUCAGGGGGGCAGGAAGUCCAUAAUGGUGGCAGCUGAGGCAAUUUUCACUCUGCUGAAAAUCAAGGGCUCUGAGAGCCUCAGCAGCUGUCUCAGAGGUUCCACGAGAAAAGUCCUCACUAAGAUACCCCUUGUAUUUGGUCCACAAUGAUCCAGUGUCGUUUGGAUUAUCGAAGAUGAGAAUUGUCGCAAAGAGCUGGCGCAGUUGACCUGACAUUUGGAACAAAGCCGCCUCAGCCAAGCAUGCAUCCCACUCAGAAUCAUCAGCCAAUAAUCCAGUGAUUUUUUAAAAAACUAAUUCAGCUAUUAUUGAAUAGUUAAAAGCUCUUAGAGUUGUCUUUUGAAUGCUGUUCAUAUGGAACAGGAUGUGAUGGAAGAUGUUAAGGAUCACUUUUCCUCCAUUCUUUCAUCCAUAUAUGUAUACAACAUUUGAUCACAUACACCGGCUGUACGAAGCCCACCCUGCACAGAUGGAUGAAGAAUACCAGGAACAUAUCCUGAACCUACUCAAGCCCAAGUUACCAACUCCUGUGUUCAGGACUUCUAUACCUGCACAGGUAAAUGGCAUCAAACCUCAUGUCACAUCACCUCAUGAAAAUUCUACAUUAGAACAUAUAAAUACUUUAUCCCAGAAUGUGAAUUCUCUGCCAGGGCAUGUGAAUUCCACACCAGCGCAAUCACAUAAAGAUACCCAGCAUACUGCCAUAGCAAACUCUUUCAAAAUCUGUAGAGAUAUUUUGCCCAAAGAAGAUAAGCAAAAAAUACUUUUGAUUCCAGCAGGUUUAAAUACAAAUUGAAAUAAGAUUAAUAAACUAAUGUAAAUAUGUGAAAGAGUUGUAUAAAAGUGAAUUCCUGCUCCGCCUUUGGAAGGAGGGAUGAAGAGCACCUCGUUGCUGGCCUGCAGAGGCAGGCCAGGCCAUUUCUUCCCUAGUCUCUUUAUCAGCAGGUCCACUUCCCUGAAGGAGGUCUUGUGGAUCAGGGAACCUCGAAGAAUGAAGUCGAGUCUUGUGUAGACGAAGGUCUUGGUGGCGUCGAUCUUCUGCCAAGUAGUGAGUAGGCUGUUGUUGAUUUUUUCCACAUCCUCCUUGAUUCCCUUGAUGGCUUCUCCGGGGUUCCUUGGCUUGUUGAAUCUGGUGGGUACUCCAAGGUGACAGUACGUGUCCUCUUCUCUCAUUGCUGAGAUUGGCUGUUCUUGGAUGCAAUGUCAGCAAUGGGUAUGCUAUCGCAUGUGUGGUGUCAGACGGGCUUACCACCAGAGCAUCGUGUUUGUGUCACGUGUUACACAGUGUGCAUUAGCGACCUGGUUGUUAUUACCAGGAGGUAAACAAACCUGGUCACGUGACAACGUGUGCAGAAACAUGCGCAAUAGGAUGGCCAAACUUGUCGAGAUGAGUGGCAGAACAAGGACGCAUGUCACGUGACGAAACAGACAUGGGUACAAUAACCUGGUCGAUUGCCGGGCCACGCGGCGAUGGUGCAUUGCGAUGGUACUCAAUUACACAUCUUUUUGGUGGGUUGUGAUGCAGAAUCUUCUUGGGGAAGUGAUCUUUUCAUCUGUUCAUUUUCCUGCUCCUUCUUCAAUUCAGCCACCACAGCAUUGGCAAUUCUUAUGGCAUUGUCUGUUCUUUCUUGAUAAACUUGUACGACCUCUUCUUCAGACAUUCCUAGUUUGAAUUCCUUCAAUAUCUUGUUUUUCAACAUUUUCACCAUAUAGCCGAGGUCCACUUUGUUAGAUUUGGGAAGAAGUGUUAUCGCUAGGCCAGUAUUUCCAGCCAUAGCAGUACGGCCUACUCUCCUGGUAUAGUCUUCCUUCACGUUGGGGCGAUCGAAAUUUAUCACCGCCGAGACUUCAGGGAAAUCCAUGCCCCUCCCUGCAACAUCUGUAGCCACCAUAUAAGAUUGGGAUUCCUCUUUGAACUUUCUCAAAUUCUUGUUCCGGUUAGCCCGAGCCAUAUCGCCAUGGAGCAUCAAUGGCCUGAAGCCAAGCGUUUCAAGAAUUCUGUGCAGCCGAAUAGUGCUGAAUUUUGUUUUGCAGAACAUCAGCACUCUCUUACGAUGAAAGGGUCCUUCUAGAAGUGCUGCCAGAUAGUAUUCCUUGUGCUCCGUUAAACAGCGAAGGUAGAAAUGUUCCAGAUGGGGGCUAAUCAGUGUGUCUGCUCGGAUUUCCACAAAGUCUUGCAGAGAAAGUCUAUUGAGAUCUAUAUUCUCCGCAGACAUAGUGGCGGAGAACAGCAAGGUCUGCCUCUCCUUGGGCAGCAGGUUCAGGAUUUCAUCCAGGUCUUUUUCGUUUUUAAGAAUCCGGUCCGCUUCAUCCAGGACCAGCACUUCGAGACAUUUUAAAGAGAAGUUCUUGGUCUUAGAUGGUGAAGGAGGCGUCCAGGGGUGGCGACAAUCACAUGGGGCCUCAGCUCGUUGAGCAGCGGGGCCUGAUGUUCAUAGCUGUCCCCACCCGUUAAAUGGACCACCGCGCAGGCGUGAUUUCCGCUGUGUCAAGUACGAGACUUGGCGACGUGGAAAUCCCACCAGAAGCACUGUACCGCGAACAGGGCCCAGCAGAAGUGCCAGGCCAAGAAAUUGGUGAAAUAAUUGCCUGCAUUUAAAAAUAUGGUUUGGGCUAUUAUCACGAAUCAAUAUUCUAUAACUGUAGAAGUCCAUUGAUGAAACCUUUUUAUUGGUUAUUGCGCCUGAUAAUUUGCAUAAUGUUAAAAUGGUAGCCGUCUUCACCAUAAGGGAAUAUCAAUGGAUAUUGAAGGGCAUCAUAGGACCGAUGUGUUUCUGAAAUUCGCUGUAUUAAGAUAGGUCAGGCCAUCCUCAAACUCGAUCGUUGAUGGUACAAAAUCACGUACGAGGAAGGAGGCGGAGGAAGUCACCUCGACGCAGAACUCACUAGAGCCAUAAUGAGUGGAAAUAGUAGCCAUGUCAUCAGAACCAAAGGUUUGAUAGCCCACAAGCAGAGCACCAAGCCCAGUAAUAUGGUCAGGAGUGACCUUGGCGAUAGGCAUCCAGGAAAAUGCUUUGUCGCCAGCUCGGUGAGUGUAGGUGUAGGUUCUAGUGUCACUUGCUCUAAAAGUGACGGCUCUGUGGUCGCGUUGAAUGUCCGUGAGAUGCAUCCAUGUGUAGUCUACACUGGAGUUUGGAGUAUCCAUGGAAUAGGGAAUGAAACAGACCGAGAUUGUACCACCUCUAUUCCUUACAUCAGUGUUAGUCAUAAUCCGGAAAUGCAGCGAUUGGAGCCGAGCCUCACGAUAAUGGCAAACAUAUUUACCAUCGUCGAUGCCAGCGUCCCAUUUCGCAGCAAGCCAUGGUGAAUUGAUCAUUAGAGAUCGAGCGUCGAUCUCAGCAGCAGCGGUGGUGCCACAAGGUAUGAAGGCUUGAUCAUACCAAUUGGUCAUUGUAGAUCCGAUAGGUCCGAGGAAACACUUAAGCAACAGGGGCCAGAGUCCGCUAGCAAUGGUACUGAUUGUUCCAAACCAGCUGGGUCCACCGGAAGCCUGAGGGAGUUGCGGCGCACAUAGAAACCGGCGAAACAAAUGACCAGUAGGGAGAGCAGAAGGAGCAACAAAAGGGUUGCGGCGACGACGAACUGGGCGCCUACGGUUGAUGACAAACCUAGGGCGUCCUUGACCACGACCUCUUCGUGCCAUUUCUUCUGCAGCAUUGCUUACAUGCUUUCUUCGUGCCAUUGUUUCUGAAAUUCGCUGUAACGAAUGACCUCGCCGUUGGAUAAUAAUGUCUGCAAAUGUGCAGCAUUUGGGGAGCUGCACAGGCUUCUUCCCAAUGACCCGAGCUCUAUCAGAGCUCUGAGCUCGGGCCAUUCCUGCUGGACACGUGGCGGCCAGCCUGCCGAGGGUGAUGGUCUUGGGGGAGGCAGUUGGGGCGAUGGGUCCAUCAAUGAUCCCAUAUUUAUUUACUAACCUCUGGACCUCUGCGAGGCCCACGUCUGACAUUUUUUUGUACAUUUUUUUGAGGCUAAAACCCCGGGUGGCAAUCAGGGUGAGGAGGGCGAUGAUGUCCACCGCCAACUGGGCUUUAUCCCCAUCACAUCUUUCCAACAUCGUGGCAAUGAUGAUGUUGGGGUUGAAGCCAGUUUACUGGCAAUGCUCACCGUAGGCCCCAAGCUCUCUCCGGGAGGUAAUCAGGCAUUGUCCGAGUUGCAAACUCGGACAUCCAGAGGAUGGGGUCGGCGUCGAAGCUCUGGAGCUCCGCAUCGGUGGGCUUCUUGAUGAGGUCCAAGAUGUCCUUGGGCCUCAUUGCGGUGGUAAACUUCCACCCCUCCUCCUCCGUUGGAGCGAUGUGGGAGGCCUUCUUGCUUGUACUUUGUGACAUCUUUGUAUUUGCUGACUAGGUUGCGCUAAAGAGACUAGAUGAACUUCUUACGAGAUUCGAAUCAAAUUAGUUCCCCACUCUGUGUGUGUGCGAUAUAAGUUCCAGGGCCGCGGAGUCGCUUCCAGGUGUCUUCUUCUUGCUCUUCGUAGAUGGUGCGCUCUUUUGGGCCCGUUUUUCAACCGUAGAGCAAUCCUGGUGGUGUUUGGCGCUUCUGCAGGUCUUUGAAGCUUUGUUGGCAGACCGUGCAGUCAAAAACCACGUAGUUGAUCUUGUGUAGAACACGAAGGUGCUUCACCAGAUCGUUGUGCUGCUUGAAGAUCAACGCUGUCCAAAACCUGCGGCGUUUGCACGUUGGGAGGGUCGCUAUGUACGACCGGCAGCCGUAGGUCGUCUGCUGCUUCCUCUUGUUGGACCAAGGGACUCUCUGAUGGCUGUGCAGGGAUGGAUGCUGGUGGGGCGUAUUUCUUCAUAGGAAGUACCUUAUUGGCGUUCUUAUUGAUGUUGUAGGACCUCUGCAGCUUGUCACCAGGGAGUUGGCUGACAACAGGGGUUGCCAGGAAGGUAUCUUCUAUAGUAAAGUUGGAUGUCUCCUAUUUCACUUUGAAGAGGCAGAUGCGCGGAAGUAUCUCCUUCUGCUGGCGGACCUUCAUGCAAUCCAGCUUGUU